rnacentral:snRNA from 1 species
CCAACGCUCUUUGCCUAUCCGGCUCAGAUCAAGUGUAGUAACUGUUCUUCCUUAGCUUGACCGCUAGGAUUCCCUUACGAGGGACCGAUACGCUCAAGAUAUUCUUUGAAAUAUGGCAGUGAGGCCUGCCAUGCCUUGUGCAGAGAGGCCUCUUGCCUUGUGUGUCCGAGGCCUUCCACUAUCGCCUUGUGAUGCGAAACGCCC